GAUGAACGCUAGCUACAGGCUUAACACAUGCAAGUCGAGGGGUAACGAGAGGAAGGCUUGCUUUCCUUGUCGACGACCGGCGCACGGGUGAGUAACGCGUAUCCAACCUGCCCCCAACUAGGGAAUAACCUUGCGAAAGUAAGACUAAUACCCUAUAAUUUCCUCAGAUGUCAUCUGACGAGGAAUAAAGAUUUAUCGGUUGUGGAUGGGGAUGCGUCUGAUUAGCUUGUUGGCGGGGUAACGGCCCACCAAGGCAACGAUCAGUAGGGGUUCUGAGAGGAAGGUCCCCCACAUUGGGACUGAGACACGGUCCAAACGCCUACGGGAGGCAGCAGUGAGGAAUAUUGGUCAAUGGGCGGAAGCCUGAACCAGCCAAGUAGCGUGCAGGAUGACGGCCCUAUGGGUCGUAAACUGCUUUUAUACAGGAAUAAAGUUAGCCACGUGUGGUUAUUUGUAGGUACUGUAUGAAUAAGGACCGGCUAAUUCCGUGCCAGCCGCCGCAGUAA
rnacentral:rRNA from 1 species